rnacentral:rRNA from 1 species
CUUUCCAAUGUGCGAAAGCACAAGAAGGAUAAUCCUAAUGGUUUCUGCUAAAGGAACCUUUUGUUAGUCCUAGAAACACUAACUAAUAAGGGGUGGGCAAGUUCUGGUGUCAGCCGCCGCGGUAAA